rnacentral:rRNA from 1 species
UGACGUCAAAUCAUCAUGCCCCUUAUGACCUGGGCUACACACGUGCUACAAUGGGCGGUACAAAGGGUCGCGAACCGCGAGGGGGAGCCAAUCCCAAAAAGCCGCUCUCAGUUCGGAUUGCAGGCUGCAACUCGCCUGCAUGAAGCCGGAAUCGCUAGUAAUCGCGGAUCAGCAUGCCGCGGUGAAUACGUUCCCGGGCCUU